AGAGUUUGAUCAUGGCUCAGAUUGAACGCUGGCGGCAUGCCUUACACAUGCAAGUCGAACGGCAGCACGGGGGCAACCCUGGUGGCGAGUGGCGAACGGGUGAGUAACACAUCGGAACGUACCCUAUCGUGGGGGAUAACCAGUCGAAAGAUUGGCUAAUACCGCAUGAACUGGAGACAGCAAAGCGGGGGACCGGCGACGGCCUCGCGCGAUUGGAGUGGCCGAUGUCCGAUUAGCUAGUUGGUGGGGUAAAGGCUCACCAAGGCAUCGAUCGGUAGCUGGUCUGAGAGGAUGAUCAGCCACACUGGGACUGAGACACGGCCCAGACUCCUACGGGAGGCAGCAGUGGGGAAUUUUGGACAAUGGGGGCAACCCUGAUCCAGCCAUGCCGCGUGAGUGAAGAAGGCCUUCGGGUUGUAAAGCUCUUUCGGUGGGAACGAAACGGUUACAACUAAUACUUGUGACUACUGACGGUACUCAUAGAGGAAGCACCGGCUAACUACGUGCCAGCAGCCGCGGUAAUACGUAGGGUGCGAGCGUUAAUCGGAAUUACUGGGCGUAAAGCGUGCGCAGGCGGUCUCGUAAGCUGGGUGUGAAAGCCCCGGGCUUAACCUGGGAAUGGCAUUCAGGACUGCGAGGCUCGAGUGUGGCAGAGGGAGGUGGAAUUCCACGUGUAGCAGUGAAAUGCGUAGAGAUGUGGAGGAACACCGAUGGCGAAGGCAGCCUCCUGGGCCAGCACUGACGCUCAUGCACGAAAGCGUGGGGAGCAAACAGGAUUAGAUACCCUAGUAGUCC
rnacentral:rRNA from 1 species